rnacentral:rRNA from 1 species
AUUGAACGCUGGCGGCAGGCUUAACACAUGCAAGUCGAACGAGUGGCGGACGGGUGAGUAAUGGUUGGGAAUCUGGCUUAUGGAGGGGGAUAACUACGGGAAACUGUAGCUAAUACCGCGUACCAUAGGUUGAGCCCAUGUGGGAUGGGGUAGUUGGUGAGGUAAAGGCUCACAAGGCCGACGAUCGCUAGCUGGUCUGAGAGGAUGACCAGCCACACUGGGACUGGGGCACGGCCCAGACUCCUACGGGAGGCAGCAGUGGGGAAUAGUGCGCAAAGGGGGCAACCUGACGCAGCCAUGCCGCGUGAAUGAAGAAGGCCUUCGGGUUGUAAAGUUCUGUCGGUAGCGAGGCGUUACCUACAGAAGAAGCACCGGCUAACUCCGUGCCAGCAGCCGCGGUAAUAC